UACGAAGGGGGCUAGCGUUGUUCGGAAUUACUGGGCGUAAAGGGCGCGUAGGCGGCGUGUCAAGUCAGGCGUGAAAGCCCCGGGCUCAACCUGGGAACCGCGCUUGAGACUGGCAUGCUCGAGUUCGGGAGAGGAUGGUGGAAUUCCCAGUGUAGAGGUGAAAUUCGUGGAUAUUGGGAAGAACACCGAUGGCGAAGGCAGCCAUCUGGACCGACACUGACGCUGAGGCGCGAAAGCGUGGGGAGCAAACAGG
rnacentral:rRNA from 1 species